CCUCAUCGUCAAACUCAUCGUCCCCUUCCUCGUCUUCCUCCAGGGGCUCGGCGGCCGCGCCGCUGCUGGGCUGCCCGAGCAACAGCCCGUGCUCCGCCUCCUCCUCCUCCGAGGCCAGCUGGCCCUCGUCCACCAUCGCCUCCGCCGACGCCGGGGCGCGAGACGCUCGCGGUCGGAGCUGCACCAUGGCCCACGCAGCGCUAGACCGUCUGACCUCUGACCCGGAAGCAGCUACAAGCGGAGCGCAAGCCUACUUUCAUCGCCCCCUGCAGAUUUGGCUGCGUUCGCUCCGCACUUCGGAGGAGGUGGCGUUUCAUGGGAAGAAAUGCGCUCUAGCAGAUGGCCGCCGUGGCCAGUCAGCCCUGCUGCCACCGACGAAGACGCGGGCGACAGACCUGGACUCUAAAGAAAUCUGCACAGACGUGCCCGGCGCCCUCGGCCUUCCCAGCUCCGCGGCCGCAGCGACGCCGGUU
rnacentral:lncRNA from 1 species